rnacentral:lncRNA from 1 species
AAUGCUCUUUUGAACACAUCACUUCCCUGUACCCAUGGGACAAAGGCAACAGGAAGGGCUGCCACUCACAGGCCACACCUAUUCCUUAGUGAAGGAGAUCUGAGCAAAGGAGUACAAAUGCUUUGCACCCUGCCAGGCUUCAGGCAAUGUAGCACCUUUGUAGUCAGCCCAUGGGACUCUUUUGGAGGCUGUGCCUGGCAGCAAGGGGGAGAGAGAUCCUUAUUACUACUCUGAAUGCAACACGUUGUCUCAAAACCAUCUAUAGAGCUCCAGGCCCAGAGAUGUUCCCCUACCACAGAGGCUUACUGGUGUUUCGCAGGGUCCUGGUGGCGAAUGCAGCUGCCUCCCCUGCAGAGAGGCUGAGCCUGGUCGGAGCAAGAAGCUCGGCUGCACCGCUCACCUGCAGGAGAAGGACCCAUCACUCCGUGCUGGUACCGUUGUCAGCAGUGCUCUUGCCGAUUGCAAGACUGGUGGAAGCAUCAAAGGGGUGCCCUUGGAAUGUGUGCCUAAUGAUGAUCAAUGAAAAUAGAAGCCCUGUUGCAGCGAGACUCAUGAGGUCCUGCUCACAGCUGGCACACAGAGGCAUGGCUGUAAAAAGAAGAUGCUGGGCAUCAGGACUAAUUGUCCCACCAGAUUCCUCCUCACCUUGGAAAACCCUUGUCUCCUCCCAGCAGGGGAGAUGGGCCGCCUGUCCUGGUGUGGAUACUGGUAUGCCAGCCAGAUGCUCUGCGAGCAGAUGCUUUGCCUCCUAG